UCUUGGUAAUAGAGCUGCUUCCUGGAUGGUACAUUCAUAUUUCUUCCCAAUUUCUAUAUCAUGUUUUGUAUUUCAAUGAAGAAUCUAAUUUAAAAGAAACAAUUUGCACAUGUAGGCAGAAGGCUUUUUUUUUUUUUUUUUUUUCCAACAACUCCUGCUCCUCUGACAGAGCAAAUAGAGCAUAAGCUGUCCCUACAUUGGAUUUGUUCCUACAGUGGAUUGCCUGGCCUUGCUGUUGGACAACUGGACCAGAAAAUGUAAUUGCAGAAUGUUCGCAGCUAAUAUUGAGUUCUCAUCUCAAGAACCUGAUGGCAAUUUCCCCUGUGAUUAUUUGCACGCUGAUACUGGGAGCUUUGUCUGCUCUCCUGGAUAGCUGGAGAAGCGAGGUGCUGGAACAGGCUGCCAGAGAUGUUGUGGAUGCCCCAUCCCUG